CUCUUCACUGAAGGAGGGCGUGGAGCUCGAUCCAUGACAUCCCUCAGCAUAUUCCCAAUAUCAUCAACCAGUCCCUUGACCUCAUUGCCUUCAUUGGCAUUGGUCGAAGUAGCCACACGGGGUUGCCGUGGGCGCCUAGGAGGCAUAGUACCUGAGGAAGAAGAAAUUUAGUAGUCCAUAAACAAGACUAACACAAUAAUCACAUAUACCCAAUAACACAUAGCAUCAAAAGCAUAAAAUGCCAAUGAAUCCGCCGCGGUCGGAUCAUAACUCUAUAGACACUACAUGCUACUUAGGCAAAUGUGAUAGUGACAAGGAAGCAGGAAAAGGAAACCUAUAGCUCUGAUACCAACUGACACGACCCACCCCGAAUUUCACCCUGAAACCCAGAGUAAGUCGUGCGGGGACCACCUCCAAGGAAAAUUUACUGAAAAAAUUAAGAAAAUCUCCCUUGCAGAUGGACAACCCUAACUCGAAAAUUUCAAAUUACACUCUUAAUUUAUCACUUCUGAACAUCGCAUAAUAUACAAAAAUUCUAAAGUAUUCAGAGCUACUAAACACAAACGGAAGCAAGAAAACACGAGUAGGUUGAACAGGUAACGUACUGGCGAAAACUGGCAGAAAUGCGGGUGACUAUGCCUCGUCUCCUACUAGAUCCAACCCGAACUCUGCAGACUGGGAAAUUUAAAACGAAGGGCCCAGGGGAAAACAUUUAAAAACCGUUAGAGUGAGUGGACAAAAAUAAAAGAAUAAAUAAAAUAUUUAUGUUUCCCCAAAUUAAUUUCUAAGGAAAAAUCGAAUGCAUGCCGCAAGCGAUAAAACUUUUAUCCCAUAAAAUAUCGAGCCUCUCAGACUCUAUAAUAUAUGUAUGUAUUUACACUCGUCCAUACUCCCUAUAUAAAUUCAUGGGUCUAUAUAGGGCUACUACGCUCGCGUCCAACGCUCACGUCACGCCUUAAUGCGGUGCUACACUACGCCAUCAAGGUGGACAGACGGGUGUAUAAAUACGUGUCCAUACCCCUUAUAUGAAUUAAACACUCAAAUAGGGCUACUACGCUUACGUCCAACGCUCACGUCACACCAUAUGCGGCUAUAUG
rnacentral:lncRNA from 1 species